rnacentral:rRNA from 1 species
CCUACGUGAGGCAGCAGUGGGGGAUAUUGCACAAUGGGGGAAACCCUGAUGCAGCGACGCCGCGUGUGGGAAGACGGUCCUCUGGAUUGUAAACCACUGUCCCCGGGGACGAAGAUGACGGUACCUGGGGAGGAAGCUCCGGCUAACUACGUGCCAGCAGCCGCGGUAAUACGUAGGGAGCGAGCGUUGUCCGGAAUUACUGGGUGUAAAGGGAGCGUAGGCGGGACUGCAAGUUGGGUGUCAAAUCUACCGGCUCAACCGGUAGCCGCACUCAAAACUGCAGGUCUUGAGUGAAGUAGAGGCAGGCGGAAUUCCUAGUGUAGCGGUGAAAUGCGUAGAUAUUAGGAGGAACACCAGUGGCGAAGGCGGCCUGCUGGGCUUUUACUGACGCUGAGGCUCGAAAGUGUGGGGAGCAAACAGGAUUAGAUACCCUUGUAGUC